rnacentral:lncRNA from 1 species
AGGCGAGCCGUGCAGGCGGGGGUGGGGAAGCUCCCGCAGCCGGUCGCUUUUCUCCGCCGCCGCUGGUUGGAUCGUUUCAAUAAAAGUCUUUUUUUUUUUUU